CUAUGAGAAGUGAGAAAUUUGCAACAAUAAUCUUUAAUAAUUCUGGUGCAGUGAAUUAACAAUAUCUGAGAAAUAAACCUUGGGAAACAUUUUUCCUGGAUAAAGGCUGAACUUUACUUAUCACAGGGUGGUGGCUCAAAGCACAGUCUCAAGACUGUAAUCUUUAGAAAAUCGUGCAACCACUUUUUUACUCUUUCCUCUAUUAAAAGAAAAACUUCAGUUGAAUUACAUUUAAAGAAGUUCAAUUGAGCAAUGAACGAUUUGCAAAUUGGGCAGCCUCCAGAAUCACAGCAGAUUCAGAGACACCAGCGCAGACACAUCGUGGAAGACAAUUUAUAGACAAAAAAUGAGAAGUGACAUACAGAAAUCGGAACUGAGGGACAUGGAUGAACCUGGAAACCAUCAUUCUCAGCAAACUGACACAAGAACAGAAAAUCAAACACCACCUUCUCACUCAUAGGUGAGUGUUGAACAAUGAGAACACUUGGACACAAAAAGGGGAGCAUCACACACCGGGGUCCAUUGAGAGGGGCUACAGGAGGGAGGCUGGGG
rnacentral:lncRNA from 13 species